UACGUAGGGGGCGAGCGUUGUCCGGAGUUACUGGGCGUAAAGCGCACGCAGGCGGUGCGGUAAGUUUGAAGUGACAAUCCUCGGCUUAACUGAGGAGGGCCUUUGAAGACUGCCGGACUUGAGGGCUUACGAGGGACACGGAAUUCCGGGUGGAGUGGUGAAAUGCGUAGAGAUCGGAAAGAACACCAACGGCGAAAGCACUCUGCUGGGCCGACACUGACACUGAGAGACGAAAGCUAGGGGAGCGAAUGGG
rnacentral:rRNA from 1 species